GACGAACCGUGCGAACGUUGUUCGGAUUCACUGGGCUUAAAGGGCGCGUAGGCGGACUACCAAGUCGGGGGUGAAAUCUUUCGGCUCAACCGGAAAAUAGCCUUCGAUACUGGUAGUCUUGAGGGAGGUAGGGGCAGGUGGAACUUCUGGUGGAGCGGUGAAAUGCGUAGAUAUCAGAAGGAACGCCGGUGGCGAAAGCGACCUGCUGGAUCUCCUCUGACGCUGAGGCGCGAAAGCUAGGGGAGCAAACGGG
rnacentral:rRNA from 1 species